rnacentral:rRNA from 1 species
UCCGAAGGGUGCAAGCGUUACUCGGAAUUACUGGGCGUAAAGCGUGCGUAGGUGGUGAGUUAAGUCUGUCGUGAAAGCCCCGGGCUCAACCUGGGAAUGGCGAUGGAUACUGUCUCGCUAGAGUGCGGUAGAGGAGAGUGGAAUUCCCGGUGUAGCAGUGAAAUGCGUAGAGAUCGGGAGGAACAUCAGUUGCGAAGGCGGCUCUCUGGACCAGCACUGACACUGAGGCACGAAAGCGUGGGGAGCAAACAGG